AACGACGUGAUCUGCCUCUGAAGACGAUGAACUGAUAGGCGUCUCCACCCUGAUCCUAUAUCGCCUUUUCAAGUGAGUCAUAAGUGCCCCAGCAUACAGCGUCUAUUUUACAAAGCUCCGUCCACCAAUAGGGUAUUUACCGGCCAGAGUGCAAGCCAAAGUGCAAUAAAGCAUAGCUGAAGCUUUGCUGAGACUGCAUGUGAUCUGCUGAGAAGCCCAAGAAAGCCAAUUGGACAUGCAGUGCCUGCUCUGAUCUGCUCUGCAGAGCCUUCCAGCCUUAUGUCCACGACUUUGAACAUUACUCAGGGCCUUGAAGUUAACCACACCUGACAUUUCCUCAGACUCUUCCGCUCAACGUCGCAAGCAGAUCAACGUUUGAAGAUUCUCAUCUUUAAAAUUGCCAGAUCACAAAGAGUCGGACCCGUAAAGAUGCUCAAGCUCGAGCGGUAGACGCACAGAUUCGAGGGCUGAAAAUCCUCGGCGUCGACGUGAUGCCAAAACAUUUUACAGUUUAUACGGGCAAGGAUGACUCACCAUCUGUUCACGGUGAUGCAGGCCAGAUUUGCUGCCAUUUGUACAAAACACGAGCAUAAUGUCUUCUUCUAAAUCAUGUUGUGACUUGCAAAAAAAUAAAAAAUGAA